AACCUUGCGCAGUGGCAAUAUCAUAAACCAAUGAAGGUCUCCUGAUGUGCGAUUAUUGCUAGUUGAAAACUUUUAAAAAUGAAUUGUUUACACUGGCAAACCGUUUUCAUUUUUUUUUAUUGCAGCCUUCAA
rnacentral:snRNA from 1 species